GCACUGCUGAGGAGUUCCACAAUAGAACGAAACGGCCGUUCAAUGC
rnacentral:hammerhead_ribozyme from 1 species